GAUGGCUCAUUAAAUCAGUUAUCGUUUAUUUGAUAGUACCUUACUACAUGGAUAACCGUGGUAAUUCUAGAGCUAAUACAUGCUAAAAACCCCGACUUCGGAAGGGGUGUAUUUAUUAGAUAAAAAACCAAUGCCCUUCGGGGCUCCUUGGUGAAUCAUAAUAACUUAACGAAUCGCAUGGCCUUGCGCCGGCGAUGGUUCAUUCAAAUUUCUGCCCUAUCAACUUUCGAUGGUAGGAUAGUGGCCUACCAUGGUAUCAACGGGUAACGGGGAAUUAGGGUUCGACUCCGGAGAGGGAGCCUGAGAAACGGCUACCACAUCCAAGGAAGGCAGCAGGCGCGCAAAUUACCCAAUCCCGACACGGGGAGGUAGUGACAAUAAAUACUGAUACAGGGCUCUUUUGGGUCUUGUAAUUGGAAUGAGUACAAUUUAAAUCCCUUAACGAGGAACAAUUGGAGGGCAAGUCUGGUGCCAGCAGCCGCGGUAAUUCCAGCUCCAAUAGCGUAUAUUAAAGUUGUUGCAGUUAAAAAGCUCGUAGUUGAACCUUGGGCCUGGCUGGCCGGUCCGCCUCACCGCGUGUACUGGUCCGGCCGGGCCUUUCCUUCUGGGGAACCUCAUGCCCUUCACUGGGCGUGCUGGGGAACCAGGACUUUUACUUUGAAAAAAUUAGAGUGUUCAAAGCAGGCCUUUGCUCGAAUACAUUAGCAUGGAAUAAUAGAAUAGGACGUGUGGUUCUAUUUUGUUGGUUUCUAGGACCGCCGUAAUGAUUAAUAGGGAUAGUCGGGGGCAUCAGUAUUCAAGCGUCAGAGGUGAAAUUCUUGGAUUGCUUGAAGACUAACUACUGCGAAACGAAUUUGCCAAGGAUGUUUUCAUUAAUCA
rnacentral:rRNA from 1 species